rnacentral:piRNA from 3 species
UCAAUAAAUAUUUGUAGAAUGCAUGAAUGAA